AGAUUUCUGUGGUAUCUGCUGGCUUCUCAGAAAAUACCCCGAGCUCCUGUGAAGUAAAGUUUCAGGUUAUGUUCACCUGUAAAGGAAGAUGAACAGUCACCUAAAAUGUGUCUCCAGUGUCCAAGACUGAUGAUGCCACACGCAAACCAAGAGGAUAUGAAAAGAUCCACUAUUUAUACAGUUGAAGUUUCUGAGAAGGGCAGGUAUCUGUGAGCACUACAGACCCAGGUCUACUUUAUAUUCCGAUUUUCAGCUUGUGUACUGAGGCCCACACCAACACUGCAGAUCCAGGUUCCAAACCAAAGGCAGGUCAGUGGACUUCAAAUUAACAGGGGAAAUGUUUUUAAGUUUUCCUCCAUCCUCAUUCAAGUGGAGUCAGCAGUUAGGUGCGUUGUUUUUCAGUUUUCCCAGGGUUCUGGCUUCAUGCAAGUGGUCUCAGAUUGGAAACUCUGGGCCACAGGGAUCUGGUCCAGGAUGCCCUGUGGCCCCAAGGGAUCUAGUGGCCUCAGUGCUCACUUUCCUCCUUGU